AUACGUAGGGGGCGAGCGUUGUCCGGAAUUAUUGGGCGUAAAGGGUGCGUAGGCGGCCUUUUAAGUCAGAUGUGAAAGACCACAGCUUAACUGUGGGGUUGCAUUUGAAACUGGGAGGCUUGAGUAUCGGAGAGGGUAGUGGAAUUCCAAGUGUAGCGGUGAUAUGCGUAGAUAUUUGGAGGAACACCAGUGGCGAAGGCGACUACCUGGACGAAAACUGACGCUGAGGCACGAAAGCUAGGGGAGCAAACAGGAUUAGAUACCCUGGUAGUCCUAGCUGUAAACGAUGGGUACUAGGUGUAGGGGUUUCGAUACCUCUGUGCCGCAGUUAACGCAAUAAGUACCCCGCCUGGGGAGUACGUGCGCAAGCAUGAA
rnacentral:rRNA from 1 species